ACACCCUCAACCUUCUUGGUUUCUUGAUCAGGAAGGCUUGGACUUUGGAGGUUUUUCUUGCCGGCCUUUCUUUGAAGCCAGCUCCUCCUAAAAGGAUUAGUGGGGCUCGCUUUGCCGAUCCUUGACGUGAUAAGUAUGCUUCUACGUCUUGGGUUUCGAACGAACCUGCUUCAAACCGUCUUUGAACAAAGACAACGUUCGAGUUGCAUUGCGACUCGAACACAGCGA
rnacentral:misc_RNA from 1 species